UACGUAGGGGGCGAGCGUUGUCCGGAUUUACUGGGCGUAAAGCGCGUGUAGGCGGCCGGAUAAGUUGGGUGUGAAAGCCCGGGGCUCAACCCCGGGACGCCGCCCAAGACUGUUCGGCUUGAGGACGGAAGAGGGGCGUGGAAUUCCAGGUGUAGCGGUGAAAUGCGUAGAGAUCUGGAGGAACACCCGUGGCGAAGGCGGCGCCCUGGUCCGUUACUGACGCUGAGACGCGAAAGCGCGGGGAGCGAACGGG
rnacentral:rRNA from 1 species